ensembl:snoRNA
AUCCUCUUGUAGUUCAUAAACAUGGUGAUUGGGGGGUUCCCCCAGUCUCACAAUUGAUGUGAGAUGUGCCUCCCUCAAACCUUCUUAUAACGUCAGCACAUUACCCGUCUUUCA